UUCGCAAUGCCCGAAAGGGUGACCGAGCGACGCCGCGUGGAGGACGAAGGCCUUCGGGUUGUAAACUCCUGUCGAGGGGGAGGAAGGGGCAACCUUGACCGAUCCCUGGAGGAAGCACGGGCUAAGUUCGUGCCAGCAGCCGCGGUAAGACGAACCGUGCGAACGUUAUUCGGAAUCACUGGGCUUAAAGCGCGUGUAGGCGGAUGGGAACGUCGGUCUUUGAAAGCCCCCGGCUCAUCCGGGGAAGCGGAGCCGAAACGACCGAUCUGGAGGGACGUAGGGGGACCUGGAACUUCCGGUGGAGCGGUGAAAUGCGUUGAGAUCGGAAGGAACGCCCGUGGCGAAAGCGACGUGCUGGACCUCUUCUGACGCUGAGGCGCGAAAGCUAGGGGAGCGAACGGGAUUAGAUACCCCGGUAGUCCUAGCCCUAAACGAUGGGCACUAAGUAGAGGGGUUUU
rnacentral:rRNA from 1 species